AACAUAGCAAAAAAGCUUACAAGAGGAGAGUCUACAUAGUAAUACAAAUAAAUAAAUCUAAACUUAACUUUAAUGUUCAAAUAAUAUAUUUAAAGUCAAUGUGCGAACAUACAUAAAAUCCAUGAUCAAAUAAUGAUGUAAAUUAUAUUAAUAAUAUACUUACUUGUUUCUCAACAAUGGCACGCAACUUAGAGAACUCCAAGUCAAAGUGUGAACGCAUAUCACCUAUAGUCUUGUUUAAAUCAUCUACCUCGGAAGUCAACAUGGCAAGCUUGUUUUCCAUUUCCAACUGUGACAUACCGGAAUGAGGUAGAUUAGAAGACGCAGAAGCACCCCUAUUUGAUGGGGAGGAUGAUUAAAAAUAUGAGCAUCGAUAUGGACAGUAUCUUCUAAUUGGAAAUCUUCAAUCUCCUUUUUAGUUGGAGAUAUAUUCCUUAAUUGCAACUACAGAAAAUACAUGAUUGUCAGUUGAACAGAUAUAUAAAUACAAAGCAAGCAUAAAUAGAUAAGGUAUGUAAUGAAAACAUACCUCUGAAGAAGUCAAUGACAACGUCUGAUACGUUUCCUCAAACUUGCAAUUAUAUUCACUAGACCAUUUUAGCAUACGGGGGAUACAAUCAACAUCUUUCAUAUUACUAUAUCUCCCAUUCAGGUACGGACAACACUCAUGGAACCAAAGUUGGAACGCAUAUGGAAAGCCAACUAGUCUAUAGUAGUUGUCUUUGGAUGUGGUUCUCACGGCAUAUUUCAAUGAAUCUAAAGUGCACAUGAAAACUUCCUUACCCCAAGGAAAGCUAUCAAAUUCUUCACCAUCUAUCAAGUCUAGGUCAGCUGUAGGGACUUGAGAAUCAUAUAUCGAGCUAAGUAGGAAAGUAUGCAAGAAAUAAAGUUUUGCAAACUUCACUGCAUCCUCGUCGGUCCCACCCUCAAUAUUCAAAAACAAUCUUCAGAUUGCUCCUGCGUACAUGGUUAGUGUCUCUGAAAUAUCUGCUCAUGAAGUUGUUCUCAGUCCUAGAAUAUCGCUUCUUGUAAACUGAACCAAAACAACUAAGACCGGUGACAAGAGCAAAUUCUUUCACGCCGAAACACAGCUUCAUUCCACCAACACCAAUUCAAAUCUCGAGAGGGUUCGGCUGUUUUAUUUGCCUAAGUAGAAUUUUGUGGAUGAGCUGGUAUUGUAUCUUGAAAGAUGAUAGCCGAGUAAAAUUUUCAAAGCAGCCGGAAGCAAAAAGAGAUAGCUGCUGUGAUGAUAACGCGUUCCAUAUAUCCUUAAUAAGUUCAUACUUAUUGUUGGUACUGAGCUUCGCUGUUUUGUGAUCUUUAACUUGAAUAACAUAAUC
rnacentral:lncRNA from 1 species